GCUCUGGUGGCCUAGUGGUUAGUGCAUCUGUCUAGGAUAUGGGAGAUUGUGGGUUUGAUCCCCGGUCAAGUCA